rnacentral:rRNA from 1 species
GACAGAGGGUGCAAACGUUGUUCGGAAUUAUUGGGCGUAAAGCGCGUGUAGGCGGCAUGGCAAGUCGGGUGUGAAAGCCCUCAGCUUAACUGAGGAAGUGCGCCCGAAACUGCUGUGCUUGAGUACCGGAGAGGAUGGCGGAAUGCCCCAAGUAGAGGUGAAAUUCGUAGAUAUGGGGCGGAACACCGGUGGCGAAGGCGGCCAUCUGGACGGAUACUGACGCUGAGACGCGAAAGCGUGGGUAGCAAACAGG